UAUCUGCCCUUUGGCCUGGAAUAACACGAGGAAACUUGUGCUAAUACCAGAUAAGUCUUUACGGAGAAAGCUUUAUGCACCAUUGGAUGAGCCUGCACUUGAUUAGUUUGUUGGUGGGGUAAUGGCCUACCAAGACAAUGAUCAAUAGCUGAUUUGAGAGGAUGAUCAGCCACAUUGGGACUGAGACACGGCCCAAACUCCUACGGGAGGCAGCAGUGGGGAAUCUUGCACAAUGGAGGAAACUCUGAUGCAGCGAUGCCGCGUGAGUGAAGAAGGCCCUUGGGUUGUAAAGCUCUUUCGUCGGGGAAGAAAAUGACUGUACCCGAAUAAGAAGGUCCGGCUAACUUCGUGCCAGCAGCCGCGGUAAUACGAAGGGACCUAGCGU
rnacentral:rRNA from 1 species